UAGGGAAUCUUCCGCAAUGGGCGAAAGCCUGACGGAGCAAUGCCGCGUGAGUGAUGAAGGUUUUCGGAUCGUAAAGCUCUGUUGCCAGGGAAGAACGCUUGGGAGAGUAACUGCUCUCAAGGUGACGGUACCUGAGAAGAAAGCCCCGGCUAACUACGUGCCAGCAGCCGCGGUAAUACGUAGGGGGCAAGCGUUGUCCGGAAUUAUUGGGCGUAAAGCGCGCGCAGGCGGUCAUGUAAGUCUGGUGUUUAAUCCCGGGGCUCAACCCCGGAUCGCACUGGAAACUGCGUGACUUGAGUGCAGAAGAGGAGAGUGGAAUUCCACGUGUAGCGGUGAAAUGCGUAGAGAUGUGGAGGAACACCAGUGGCGAAGGCGACUCUCUGGGCUGUAACUGACGCUGAGGCGCGAAAGCGUGGGGAGCAAACAGG
rnacentral:rRNA from 2 species